GUGCAAUUUCGGAGAACCGCAGCUAAAUUAUAAUAACGGGUAUUUCGACGUGAACGACACCAUGUCAAUUACCGGCGACGUUUGGAUAGGGUACCUUUAUGCCAAGGUUCCAUUUUUACUAUUGGGUUGUGCCAGGUUGCAGAGCGUGAAUGGAGUAUACGUUAACAACACCGCUGACUGUUUUACAAUCUGUAAAGGUAGAACAUUCGGAAUUCAGAGGACAAGUCAUUUGCUGUCAGGUUUGCUGUGCAUAUGCAUUACGGGUUCUUUGAACACAUCUGAAAGAAGUUGCAUUGGUGGCGACCAGACAAGCCUGUGCAAUAACUGUUCUGAGAUUUACACCCAGAUCAACGUGAACGCAUCACAUGUCAGUGGCCCUAAUGAUAACCACGGUGAUGAUUGCCUGACGUUUUAUUACCCACAUUUUACGUGGCGACCGUGUUCAGGAGGAUCUUUUAUACAUUCCAUGUGAAGCAAUGCAACGUAUCAAGAUCUCACAGCAACUGCCACGAUAUCCGAGACAGUAAAAAAUGAUUGGUCGGCUGGGAAUAAAUUUUGCUUGACAAAUGGACGACAUCCAUCAUUUGUACAAAGCAUAACAAAUACCGGCUUUACUGACGCUCAGAAACAAUACUACUGGACUGGAAUUUUUAGAACAAAAAUACUAAUGCAACGCUCUU